AAAGAAUGAAGACCUGGAAAUGCUUCUGAAUCUGAGGGGACCACCAGCACCACAUCACCCCUUUGUAAGCCAGAUUUCAAGCAGACACUCUUACAAGUCACUCUCCAACCUGGAUGAAAAGAGGAAGAUAUUUGCCAUAUCCCAAGGAGGAAGAAGGCCUCUAAAGCCAGAAGGGAAGUCCUAUUCUCUGAUAUGAGGCCAUUCAUAUGUAUAUUUAUUAAUAGUAAUGCAAUGCCCUCUACAACAGGGAAAAGCACUAUAUUAAUCAAAUUUUAAUUCAUCUUAUUUUUGUUAGAGAUUUGCAUUUUAUUAUCGCUGAUGCUUUAUUACUGUUUGUUGUUUAACUGGAACCCAAAAUGUCUAAAGCUCCUCUAACCCCAGCUUCUGUCAAAUAAUAAUAAGGAAAACCACCACUUGCAGGUUAUACAGUAA
rnacentral:lncRNA from 1 species